GGAAGCGAGCCCUAGAAUUAUGGCGACCUCCGCGACGUCGCCGCACGCGCCUGGUUUUCCAGCUGAGGGUAGAUGCGGUUACUAUGUGGAAAAGAAGAAACGGUUCUGCAGGAUGGUGGUGGCCGCAGGGAAAAGAUUUUGUGGUGAACACGCUGGAGCCGCGGAGGAAGAAGAUGCUCGGAAAAGAAUCCUGUGUCCUUUAGAUCCAAAACACACAGUAUAUGAAGAUCAACUAGCAAAGCAUUUGAAAAAAUGUAACUCAAGAGAGAAACCAAAACCUGAUUUCUAUAUUCAAGAUAUUAAUGCAGGCUUAAGAGAUGAAACAGAAAUACCUGAACAAUUAGCUUGAAUUCUACACUUAAAGAUCAUAUUAUGUCCCAUCCAGCAUUACACGAUGCACUUAAUGACCCUAAAAAUGGCGAUUCUGCAACCAAGCACCUGAAACAGCAGGUAUGUUUAGGCUAUAGUAACUACUA
rnacentral:lncRNA from 1 species